rnacentral:rRNA from 1 species
UACGGAGGGUGCGAGCGUUGUCCGGAUUUAUUGGGUUUAAAGGGUACGCAGGUGGCCCGGUCAGUCAGUGGUGAAAUGCGGCCGCUCAACGGUCGAACUGCCAUUGAUACUGCCUGGCUUGAGAGGAGUGGAGGCCGCCGGAACGGACGGUGUAGCGGUGAAAUGCGUAGAUAUGCGGAGGAACACCGAUGGCGAAGGCAAUCCCCUGGACCUGUACUGACGCUCAUGCACGAAAGCGUGGGGAGCAAACAGG